GAUGAACGCUGGCGGCGUGCCUAAUACAUGCAAGUCGAGCGAACGGACGAGAAGCUUGCUUUUCUGAUGUUAGCGGCGGACGGGUGAGUAACACGUGGAUAACCUACCUAUAAGACUGGGAUAACUUCGGGAAACCGGAGCUAAUACCGGAUAAUAUUUUGAACCGCAUGGUUCAAAAGUGAAAGACGGUCUUGCUGUCACUUAUAGAUGGAGCCGCGCUGCAUUAGCUAGUUGGUAAGGUAACGGCUUACCAAGGCAACGAUGCAUAGCCGACCUGAGAGGGUGAUCGGCCACACUGGAACUGAGACACGGUCCAGACUCCUACGGGAGGCGGCAGUAGGGAAUCUUCCGCAAUGGGCGAAAGCCUGACGGAGCAACGCCGCGUGAGUGAUGAAGGUCUUCGGAUCGUAAAACUCUGUUAUUAGGGAAGAAAAUAUGUGUAAGUAACUGUGCACAUCUUGACGGUACCCAAUCAGAAAGCCACGGCUAACUACGUG
rnacentral:rRNA from 1 species